rnacentral:rRNA from 1 species
AUGAAUGCAAGGAAAGAUGAUUUGGAUGAUGUAUUGAAACUUGUUUCAUUCUUCAAAGACAUGAAGGCAGUAAAUGAUGAGUUUUUCUAUGACAUCCAAGUGGACAAGGACAAGUCAAUUAAAAACAUUUUUUGGUCCAAUGCAAGCUACCGAGGAGCCUAUCAAGACUUUGGCGAUUGCAUAACAUUCGACACAACUUACAAGACCAACAUAUUUCAUAUGCCUCUGGGAGUGUUUGUUGGAACAAACCAUCACUUGCAGUCAACGAUAUUUGCUGUUGCCCUGAUAAGAGACGAAGAUGCAAAGUCAUUCAAGUGGCUGUUCGAUACAUUUGUACGGUGCAUGAACAACAAGCACCCAACUUGCAUUCUAACAGACCAAUGCCCAUCGAUGGCGAAAGAUAUACCACAAUCAUUUCCAAACACCGUCCACAAGCUAUGCCGUUGGCACAUCAUGAAGAAGUACAGGGAAUACCUCGCGUUGCUCUACAAAAAGUAUAAAACAUUCAAAGAGGAGUUCACAGAUAUAUUAAACUGGUUGCUGAUGCCAACGGAGUUUGAAGAUGCCUGGGCCCAACUCGUGCACAACUACAACCUGGAGAACGACCAGAUGAUGAUGCAGCUCUGGAGUGAUAGGAAGAUGUGGAUUUCAGCAUAUUACAAGAACAUUUUCUGUGCUAGAAUGACUUCGACACAACGAAGCGAGAGCAUGAACCACGUGCUAAAGAAAGGGUUUGUCAAGGGGACCCAGAACCUACACAACUUUGCUAGGCGGGUCAAUGCUUGCAUACAAACUCGGAUGUAG